AUUGAACGCUGGCGGCAGGCUUAACACAUGCAAGUCGAGCGAGCGGCGGACGGGUGAGUAAUGUCUGGGAAACUGCCUGAUGGAGGGGGAUAACUACGGGAAACGGUAGAUAAUACCGCAUACCAUCGGAUGUGCCCAGAUGGGAUUAGCUAGUAGGUGGGGUAACGGCUCACCUAGGCGACGAUCCCUAGCUGGCCUGAGAGGAUGAACAGCCGCACUGGAACUGAGACACGGUCCAGACUCCUACGGGAGGCAGCAGUGGGGAAUAUUGCACAAUGGGCGCAAGCCUGAUGCAGCCAUGCCGCGUGUAUGAAGAAGGCCUUCGGGUUGUAAAGUACUUUCAGCGAGGAGGCGUUACUCGCAGAAGAAGCACCGGCUAACUCCGUGCCAGCCGCCGCGGUAAUAC
rnacentral:rRNA from 1 species